rnacentral:rRNA from 1 species
UACGUAGGCAGCAAGCGUUGUUCGGAAUUACUGGGCGUAAAGAGUGUGUAGGCGGCACGUCAAGUCGCGUGUGAAAUCCCCAGGCUUAACCUGGGAAGUGCGCGCGAAACUGACGAGCUUGAGUGCCGGAGAGGGUCGCGGAAUUCCCGGUGUAGAGGUGAAAUUCGUAGAUAUCGGGAGGAACACCAGUGGCGAAGGCGGCGACCUGGACGGACACUGACGCUGAGACGGCGAAAAGCGUGGGGAGCAAACAGG